rnacentral:rRNA from 1 species
AUUGAACGCUGGCGGCAGGCUUAACACAUGCAAGUCGAGCGGAGCGAGGGUGCUUGCACCUUAGCUUAGCGGCGGACGGGUGAGUAAUGCUUAGGAAUCUGCCUAUUAGUGGGGGACAACAUUCCGAAAGGAAUGCUAAUACCGCAUACGCCCUACGGGGGAAAGCAGGGGAUCUUCGGACCUUGCGCUAAUAGAUGAGCCUAAGUCGGAUUAGCUAGUUGGUGGGGUAAAGGCCUACCAAGGCGACGAUCUGUAGCGGGUCUGAGAGGAUGAUCAGCCACACUGGGACUGGUACACGGCCCAGACUCCUACGGGAGGCAGCAGUGGGGAAUAUUGGACAAUGGGCGGAAGCCUGAUCCAGCCAUGCCGCGUGUGUGAAGAAGGCCUUUUGGUUGUAAAGCACUUUAAGCGAGGAGGAGGCUACUUAGAUUAAUACUCUGGGAUAGUGGACGUUACUCGCAGAAUAAGCACCGGCUAACUCUGUGCCAGCCGCCGCAGUAAAAC